GUCGGUGUGUUUUAUUGUGAACCCCCUCCCCGGACGUGUGUGUGUUAGCUGUUAGCUUGACGCCGGUGCGACAGAGCUCCGGAUUCUCUGCAGAUAAACAGCACUUUGUUCCUCUUCCCGUCGCUAAAGCCUCUAACAUGAGAGACAGGACGGUCUGACGGAGACUAGCCGACCCACCGGGGCUCCAACAGUGAUGCUAACUCGCCCGCUGAAUGAGAGCGCUGGCAGGGGGCGGGGCCUGGUGGAGGUGACUCCGCCUCCUGCUCUCCCAUUGGCUGAUGAGGUCACAAAUGAGACACGAACAGUUUCUCCUUCAGGAGUUUUCCCUCCGGCGCCCUGGAGCUCCUCUUCCUCCUCCUCUCCUCGUCCCCUAACUCCUCCCUCCUUCCUCUCCUCUCCU